rnacentral:rRNA from 1 species
GACGAACGCUGGCGGCGUGCCUAAUACAUGCAAGUCGACCUUAGUGGCGAACGGGUGAGUUACCCGUGGGUAACCUGCCCAUCAGCAGGGGAUAACACUUGGAAACAGGUCCUAAUACCGUAUACUGAUGUAUGGACCCGCGGUGCAUUAGCUAGUUGGUGAGGUAACGGCUCACCAAGGCCACGAUGCAUAGCGGACCUGAGAGUGGAAUCGGCCACAUUGGGACUGAGAAACGGCCCAAACUCCUACGGGAGGCAGCAGUAGGGAAGCUUCGGCAAUGGACGAAAGUCUGACCGAGCAACGCCGCGUGAGUGAAGAAGGUUUUCGGAGCGUAAAACGCUGUUGUUAGAGAAGCGGUAUCUAACCAGAAAGCCACGGCUAACUACGUGCCAGCCGCCGCGGUAAUAC